CCCGUUGAUAGGCCGGGUGUGUAAGCGCAGCGAUGCGUUGAGCUAACCGGUACUAAUGAACCGUGAGGCUUAACCUUACAACGCCGAAG
rnacentral:rRNA from 1 species